AACCAUAGAAACCUGCGGAGUACCUGCGGAAGGAUCAUUACAGAGUUGCAAAACUCCCUAAACCAUUGUGAGCGUUACCUAAACCGUUGCUUCGGCGGGCGGCCCGGGUCCUUCCCGGCGCCCCUCGGCCCUCGCGGGCGCCCGCCGGAGGUAAACCAAACUAUUGCAUUGUAUGGCCUCUCUGAGUCUUCUGUACUGAAUAAGUCAAAACUUUUAACAACGGAUCUCAGAUCGGAAGAG
rnacentral:misc_RNA from 1 species